rnacentral:piRNA from 1 species
CAAGGCAAAAUAUCAUGAGUGCA